rnacentral:rRNA from 1 species
GACGAACGCUGGCGGCGUGCUUAACACAUGCAAGUCGAACGGAAAGGCCCUGCUUUUGUGGGGUGCUCGAGUGGCGAACGGGUGAGUAACACGUGAGUAACCUGCCCUUGACUUUGGGAUAACUUCAGGAAACUGGGGCUAAUACCGGAUAGGAGCUCCUGCUGCAUGGUGGGGGUUGGAAAGUUUCGGCGGUUGGGGAUGGACUCGCGGCUUAUCAGCUUGUUGGUGGGGUAGUGGCUUACCAAGGCUUUGACGGGUAGCCGGCCCGAGGGGGUGACCGGCCACAUUGGGACUGCGAUACGGCCCAGACUCCUACGGGAGGCAACAGUGGGGAAUAUUGCACAAUGGGCGGAAGCCUGAUGCAGCAACGCCGCGUGCGGGAUGACGGCCUUCGGGUUGUAAACCGCUUUCGCCUGUGACGAAGCGUGAGUGACGGUAAUGGGUAAAGAAGCACCGGCUAACUACGUG